rnacentral:misc_RNA from 1 species
AACUUUUGACAACGGAUCUCUUGGCUCUCGCAUCGAUGAAGAACGCAGCGAAAUGCGAUACGGAAUGUGAAUUGCAGAAUUCAGUGAAUCAUCGAAUCUUUGAACGCACCUUGCGCCCCUUGGUAUUCCGAGGGGCACACCCGUUUGAGUGUCGUGAAAAUCUCAACCUUCUCGGUUUCUUCUGGACACCGCAGGAGGCUUGGACUUUGGAGGCCUUUGCAGGCGUCUCUCGCCCGCUCCUCUCAAAUGAAUUAGUGGGGUUCUCUUUGCCGAGCCUGGACGUGAGAUAAGAUUUUUCCAUGUCUUAGUUUAUGGCUCUGUUGCUUUUGGGACCCGCUUCUAACCGUCCCAACGAUAUAACGUUCGAGCGUGUCGAACACUCUUGAACCCACGAACCCUUGACCUCAAAUCGGCUGAGACUACCCGCUGAACUUAAGCAUAUCAAUAAGCGGAGGCU